UGCCAAUCGCCUCCGCCCGCGCGUCAAAACCCUAGCCGCCAGCCCUGCGCCCACUCCGCCUCGUUCUCCUCCCUCGACAGCGCCGCACCUCCUCCCUCAUUCCUGCUCAUCCGGAUAGCCGCCGGCUGCCGCAUCCCUUCUCCCCCUUCCUCCUCCUUCCUCCUUCCCGCUGGCACCGACGAGGGGGCCUCUCGCAUGGACGGCCGGGGCUUCAAACCAGGGGGGCCAAGAAAGCCGGCCGGCGGCGGCCGGGGCGGGCGCGGAGAGGGCCGAUGCGGCGACCGCGGGCGGGGCGGUGGCGGCCAAGGCCAGGGAGGACGAGCAGCAGCAGCGUCUCCAUGGACGCGGCGGCGUGACGGCUUCCAGGCACGGAUCCCCUCCUCCGCCUCCAUCCUCCACCUCUCCGGUCGCCCGGUUGCAACGCAGCAGCAGCUCCUUCCUACCUUCCAUGGACGAACUCGACGGAGACGCCGUCCAGCCCGACCACGGCCACGACUACCCCACGCACAAGAAAGGUAGUUAUUGUGAAUUGAUGUUCGCACUGAGGCCGGAGGCGAGAGGCGAGGGCACGAAGGUCGGCGGCAAGUGCUCAGGAGAGAAGAGGAAGGCGGUGGUGGCUGCGGUUUACACGAGAGCGAGGUGACCUGCCCAGAAAGAUCUGAGGAUGAAGAGAAGAUAUGGGUUAAGUUUCGGAGUGAUUCAGUUGGCCAAAAAUAUGAAACACAUCAAAGGGGCUUGUUGCUUGGCUGCUAUGGAGAAGGGUAUUCUUUGAAGGAGUUGUAGACCUUUUGGAUAUGCUUCAAUUUGGACACUUUUUCAGUAUGUAUAUGAUAUGGGCAGGAAAUGAAAAACUUAAUGUGGCUGGAGUUCUACGCGGAUUAAAUCUAAUUAUCCUUAUAUUUCAACUCCAAUGACCCGGCCUCACAUGAAUGCGGUUUUGGGCAUGUGUUUCGAUUCAUUCGGUUUCGACGGAAUCAAAGGUCAGGAAAAAUAUAUAGGUGUUAGUUCAUUAUCUUUUCAGGUUUCUUAAUUAUUCAUACAUUUGCAUCUAUGUUACAGGUGCUAGCUUUCAUGGCUAGGAUUUUUUUAGCAUAUUCAAAUCUGUAUUAGAAUAAGGUUUCCCCCUUGGAUGUUCCUUAUGUAUCUAUAUAUUAGAUUUUUGUGUGGUUCAUUUGUUGCAAAUAUAUAAAUAAUAAUCUGAUUGACUAUAUGCAGAUUUGGUUUGAAAUCUUAAAGCAGUCUCUGACAAGUUGUAGGUGAAGAAGAUCAUGUCCUAGGAGUUAUAUGCACGUGGAGUACAUUUAUUGUAUGCAUUUUGUUUAGAAGUAUUCAGUUUCAUAGCAUAAUCAAGUGUUUUUCAAUACUCUCUCUCUCUCACACACACACAAAAUGUCUUUAGUUUCUGUUUUUUUAAUGUAUUGGCCUCUGAAUGAUCUGCAUGGUAUAUAUCUAUAUCGUUGAAUGACCUCGACUUGUACCUUUGUGGUUUGCAAACACUAAAACAUGUGUUGCUACAGAGUUAUCUUAGUUUUGACGUUGAUCGGUGCAGGUGGGUUCUCAUGGUAGGAUUUGAUCCACUCGGAUAUCAAUGGUACUGAUACUUAAGUUGGAUUUCUUUAAAAAAAUAAAGUAUGUCCUAUGUUAGUUUGGGCGCAAGCCUGUAUCAUGAAUACAUACUGCUCACAGUGCAUUUGCAUGAGAAGCCCUUCACACGAAAAAACUAUACAUUCACAUUUUUUUCUGCGGAAACUAUAUAUUUACUUAUUAUUCAGAGCUCACUGUAUGAAAUCCGAGUGGUGCUCAAGAUGUUAAUUAACUAGCUUUGUGAAUGGGGUGGUGAAAAAUACUGCUCACUUUAUUUGUUUGGUCGCAAGCCUAUAUCAUGUACACAUACUGCUCAAUUUAUUUGAACCUUCAGAAAAUAAAUCAAUUUGCUCAAGCCUUUCUGCUGUUGAUUCCAGUUCAUUGGAGUAACUUUAAUAUUUCUUCUCAUUGCAUCAGUUAACAUGAAUGCAAAAUAGAUUUGUUGUCUUAUGCUAUCCCGUAUCAGGGAUGAUGCCACUAAGUUGUUAUAAUUAUGCUUGUAGUCCUUGUCGGAGUUUGGGUACUGCACUUUAUAAUGCAAAGGAAUGGUAUAAACGAUAGCUGGUUCUUUCAUGUAGUAUGCCUUUUUCUAUAAUGUAUAUUAUGGAUGCGGUACUUCUUCGAAACCUUCAUAAUGCUUUUUGUCAUGCAACAACUUGCUAACAAGUCCUGGUCUGUUGCAGUUGAUUGCACAUGUGGAGGGCUUCUGGAUGCAUUUAUUGUCUCAUGUCACAAGGAUUUACAACUUUUACGAGAAUGCAGGUGUAGAGUAUUGAUAAUUCCAGAUAGUUCACUUCCCACAAUAGAGCACCCUACAGUACUAUCAAUUAUUCAGUCAGAGAACCACACUAUGCUGAAUAUAUUGGUGGAUCAGGUACAUCGAUAAGCACCCAAUGUUCAGUCAGAUGAAGAGAGUGAAAAUAUAUUGGUGGAUCAGACAGAGUGGCGAUGCAGCUGGAAGUUUGAGGCACUGGAUUCCCCCUGACCGAGGAACAAUCAAGUUAAAUUUAGAUGCUUCGUUCUUUGCUCAGACUUGGAGGAGCUAUAUCGGGGCCAUCGCCGGGGAUUUUUUUUGGUGUUUCUUCUAUUUAUCCAAGAGCAUUGACAAAUGUAGUUCUGUGGAAGAGGCUGAGGCUCAGGCGAUGCUAGAUGGAUUGACAGCUCUGACAAUUAUGUACAACAAUGUCUGUUUCCCAACUUCAUGCGACAUUAAGACCAGCUCUUCUUCUGUUCUUGUCCAAGUCCGGGCAGCAGAACCAGUAUACCAUCGCCCAUGCCCUUGGUGUGUGUGUGCCAGAACUAAAGAGAACAUACUCAAGAUUGCAGAUAUCCCAGCGGAGUUACAUUGGGCAGUUAAAUCUGAUUGUAAACAAGGUUCCUGAGUAGUUUCUACUCUGUAUCUAAAACAUGCAUCCGAUGGAAAAAACUAUUAAUAUUGCGAUGUAUUUCAGGAAGCGGAUUAUGAGCACUCGGGUGCUCUACCCCCCUGCAUAGCACCCGAGAGCUCCUAUGCAUUUUCGUGCAUUUCACUCCUUUUGUCAUGAAAGUAGAUAAGGCCUCACCGGUUCGGGUGUGACCGUGCUGUUGUGUUGC